GUACUCACCUCAGCAGCACAUAUACUAAAAUUGGAAUAAUACAGAGAAGAUUAGCGUGGCCCCU
ensembl:snRNA RNU6-794P RNA, U6 small nuclear 794, pseudogene